rnacentral:rRNA from 1 species
UACGGGGGGAGCAAGCGUUGUUCGGAUUUACUGGGCGUAAAGGGCGCGUAGGCGGCCACCGCAAGUCGACUGUGAAAUCUCCGGGCUUAACCCGGAAAGGUCAGCCGAUACUGCGGGGCUAGAGUGCAGAAGGGGCAACUGGAAUUCUCGGUGUAGCGGUGAAAUGCGUAGAUAUCGAGAGGAACACCUGCGGCGAAGGCGGGAUUGCUGGGCUGACACGUGACGCUGAGGCGCGAAAGCUAGGGGAGCGAACGGGA